rnacentral:rRNA from 1 species
GCGGAGGAAAAGAAAAUAACAAUGAUUUCCCUAGUAACGGCGAGUGAAGAGGAAAGAGCUCAAAGUUGGAACCUGUUUGGCUUAGCUAAACCGGAUUGUAAACUGUAGAAACGUUUUCCUGAUACGCCAGACAAAUAAGUCCUUUGGAACAGGGCAUCAUAGAGGGUGAGAAUCCCGUCUUUGGUCUGAGCUGUUGUCUUUUGCGAUACGUUUUCAAAGAGUCAGGUUGUUUGGGAAUGCAGCCUAAAUUGGGUGGUAAAUCUCACCUAAAGCUAAAUAUUUGCGAGAGACCGAUAGCGAACAAGUACCGUGAGGGAAAGAUGAAAAGAACUUUGAAAAGAGAGUUAAACAGUAUGUGAAAUUGUUAAAAGGGAACCGUUUGGAGCCAGACUGGCUUGAUUGUAAUCAAUCUAGGUUUCGACCUGGAUGCACUUGCGGUCUAUGCCUGCCAACGACAGUUCUUUCUGAAGGAUAAAACUAAGAGGAAUGUGGCCCCUCGGGGUGUUAUAGCCUUUUAGAUAAUACUUUGGAUGGGACUGAGGAACGCAGUGAAUGCUUAUGGCGAGAUUGCUAGGCGCUUUUGUUGAUAUAUGUCAGAAUUUCUGCUUCGGGUGGUGCUGAUGUAUAAAGAUGAAACUCGUUUGGUUAAUUUUCUAUUCACUUAGGUUGUUGGCUUAAUGACUCUAAAUGAC